GUCGAGAAUCUUCCGCAAUGCGCGAAAGCGUGACGGAGCGACACCGCGUGAUGGAUGAAGUCCUUCGGGGCGUAAACAUCUUUUAUAAAGGAGGAAAUUUUUGACGUUACUUUAUGAAUAAGGGGCUCCCAAUCUCGUGCCAGCAGGAGCGGUAAUACGAGAGCCUCAAGCGUUAUCCGGAAUCAUUGGGCGUAAAGGGUGCGUAGGUGGUUUGAUUAGUCUCCCGUUAAAACUUCGAGCUUAACUCGAAAAGAGCGGGGGAAACGGUCAAACUAGAGUAUGUGAGAGGUGUGUGGAACUCAUGGUGUAGGGGUGAAAUCCGUAGAUAUCAUGGGGAACACCAAAAGCGAAGGCAGCACACUGGCACAUCACUGACACUGAGGCACGAAACCUAAGGUAGCGAAUGGGAUUAGAAACCCGAGUAGUCC
rnacentral:rRNA from 1 species